GAUGAACGCUGGCGGCGUGCCUAAUACAUGCCAGUCGAGCGAACAGACGAGGAGCUUGCUCCUCUGACGUUAGCGGCGGACGGGUGAGUAACACGUGGAUAACCUACCUAUAAGACUGGGAUAACUUCGGGAAACCGGAGCUAAUACCGGAUAAUAUAUUGAACCGCAUGGUUCAAUAGUGAAAGACGGUUUUGCUGUCACUUAUAGAUGGAUCCGCGUCGCAUUAGCUAGUUGGUAAGGUAACGGCUUACCAAGGCAACGAUGCGUAGCCGACCUGAGAGGGUGAUCGGCCACACUGGAACUGAGACACGGUCCAGACUCCUACGGGAGGCAGCAGUAGGGAAUCUUCCGCAAUGGGCGAAAGCCUGACGGAGCAACGCCGCGUGAGUGAUGAAGGUCUUCGGAUCGUAAAACUCUGUUAUUAGGGAAGAACAAAUGUGUAAGUAACUAUGCACGUCUUGACGGUACCUAAUCAGAAAGCCACGGCUAACUACGUG
rnacentral:rRNA from 1 species